UAGGAUGGUGACUCUUGGGCCAAGAUUUGGCACUCCUGUGAUCUUUUGACUCUUUUACAGUGUCUGCAAGUGGGGUGUCAUGUAUGGAUCCAGUUCAUUGUUGAGGUUGUUACUUGCCUUUUGGACAAAACUCCCACCCCGUUUGGCUCCAGAAAAUAUGUGCCAGGGCAUCCUGAAGAGGACCACAGUAGCCAGCCUGGGCAAGACUGCCUUUCACCGCAUGCACUCCCAUCGUUCUGGCUCCACAGGCAUCCUUUAUGGCCAUAGCAUCGUCCCUCUUCACAUUAUCAGUAAAGGCUAUGUCACUGCAGAAGAUACUGAGGAGUGUACUGUGUAGUUUUCCAGAGGCUAAAUGACAUGUGACACCGAAGCCAACUAAAUAUCAAAGAAGAUAUGAGUAUCCACCUGCAAAAUUGGAUAGAAUCCAAUUUCAUCUAUUAAGAUACCAAAAUAAUUUCCCUUUCUCACCUUGAAAUGACCUGAGCUAACAGAAGAAAUUUUCCUGCAUUGCUUAUGAGGAUCAUACAUAAAUCAAAAUGACCUGUUUGGAGGUUGCUGACAGUUCAGGCAUGGUGUCGGUGAUUAUGUGGAAUGCCCCAUGUCCUGAGUGGUUUAAAAUUUUGCGAGUUGGUUUAGUUUUUCUGCUUCAGGAUUAUUCUGUUAAAAAGAAUUAUCCAUUUAGAAUACAGCCUGUCUGUCCCCAUGGAUCCACAGAUCAAACUA